GAUGGUGCUUCUAUGACUAGGACAUAACUUUGGUGAAUAGAUGUAUGUAAGACUGUGUAGUGCUGGGAGAGCUGUUGCUGGGUCACAAGAUCACAUGACCACGAAGACUACACUUGAUUCCAUCCUAGGCUGUUGAAGUUUUGAGAGUGGAUUCCUACCUGUGGUGGAUGGUGUCCAUUUAGAAGAAAGAACCACUGAAAAUGAAAAUGGCAGACUGAUGAAAAUGAAAGGAAGCUUUUGUAUCAGUUUGUUCUGUUAUUUCUGUCUCCAUGAGACAUCCUCUUAUUUACACUCCAUGGCAUGGAAUGCACACGUCUAGCAAGAAGCCUGAAAACUCUUUGGUGUCUGUUUGUCAUGUAGAACUCCAUUUAUCACGGUCCAGUGGAGAAGUUCUUUUGAGGUCAAGUGUCAGGUAUUAAUCUCAAGUGGAUUCCUGAUUAAAUCAUCUACAUUAUUGCUAUACAUCACAAUCGACUUCAUUAAGUACUGGGGCAGAAUUUUGGAACAGGAUCAUUUUCUUGCUGGGAAAUUGAAUUCUAUUCACUGAUGGGUAGAACAUUAGGUGGGAGCAACUGAAGUACCUGAGCCCUCAUCAUCCAUGCCUCCUCGGACGGGCAUCAGCAGGACACUCGGCCUGCCGGAGAGCCCAGACUCAUCAAACCUAAUGUGGCAUGAGAACAACUCAAACCUCAGUUUAACUGUCAAGCCAAACUGCCUUCAUAA